UACGUAGGUGGCAAGCGAUACUCGGAAUCACUAGGCGUAAAGCGCAGGUAGGCGGUUUGGUAAGUCUUUUGUGAAAGCUCCCGGCUCAACUGGGAGAGGCCAAAGGAAACUACUAGACUAGAGUGUGGUAGGGGAUACUGGGAAUUCCUGGUGUAGCGGUGAAAUGACGCAGAUAUCAGGAGGAACACCGGUGGCGAAGGCGGCUCACUGGCUCGUAUCUGACGCUCAGGCGCGAUAGCGUGGGGAUCAAACAGG
rnacentral:rRNA from 1 species